rnacentral:lncRNA from 1 species
CGACUUUUAUCAAAAGUUGUGACUUUUAUGAAAAAUUGUGACUUUUAUGAAAGGUGGUGACCUUUCCGAAAGAUUGUGACUUUUCAAAGGUUUGUGACCUUUCCGGUAAGGCACAAUAAGAACCUUUUCACACUACCCUCUGUUUUCUAUAAAUUGAGGGAUUUCCUCUCAUUUUAAAAGAACCAAUUUCUGGACUUCUUCUUCUACUACUAAAUCUAGUAUUCUAAGUGUACUUUACUGCCGUUGAGUGGCUCGCUGACACCAGCGUUUUGGGUAUCAAUACACUGGUGAUUGAGAUCAUUCUAUCCUGG